rnacentral:rRNA from 1 species
AUUGAACGCUGGCGGCAUGCCUUACACAUGCAAGUCGAACGGUAAGGCCCUUCGGGGUACACGAGUGGCGAACGGGUGAGUAACACGUGGGUGAUCUGCCCUGCACUUCGGGAUAAGCCUGGGAAACUGGGUCUAAUACCGGAUAGGACCACUGCCUGCAUGGGUGGUGGUGGAAAGCUUUUGCGGCGUGGGAUGGGCCCGCGGCCUAUCAGCUUGUUGGUGGGGUGAUGGCCUACCAAGGCGACGACGGGUAGCCGGCCUGAGAGGGUGACCGGCCACACUGGGACUGAGAUACGGCCCAGACUCCUACGGGAGGCAGCAGUGGGGAAUAUUGCACAAUGGGCGCAAGCCUGAUGCAGCGACGCCGCGUGAGGGAUGACGGCCUUCGGGUUGUAAACCUCUUUCAGCACCGACGAAGCGCAAGUGACGGUAGGUGCAGAAGAAGGACCGGCCAACUACGUGCCAGCCGCCGCAGUAA